AAAAAGACAAACCAUGGGUUUUCGUGUCCAACAUUUGACUGUCCGUCUUAUAUGAAUUUUUUUAUAAUUAGUAUUUUUAUUAUUGUUAGAUGAUAAAACAUGAUUAAUAUUUUAUGCGUGACUUGUCUUUUAAAUUUUUUUCAUAAUUUUUCAAAUAAGACAGACGGUCAAACGUUGGACACGGAAACCCAGGGUU
rnacentral:pre_miRNA from 1 species